UGAGUACGAGAUGCUACGGCGUCGAAGCAGUCUAUGUCAUACUUCCAAGAAAAGCUUGCACUGUCAUAAACAAAGAAUGCCUGUACCAUAACCGACACAGGUGGGUAGGUAGAGUAUACUAAGGGGCGCGAGAUAACUCUCUCUAAGGAACUCGGCAAAAUGACUCCGUAACUUCGGGAGAAGGAGUGCCUUAUUUUUAAGGUUGCAAUAACAAGAUCCAAGCAACUGUUUACCAAAAACACAGGUCUCCGCUAAGUCGUAAGACGAUGUAUGGGGGCUGACGCCUGCCCAGUGCCAGAAGGUUAAAGAAGUUGGUUAGCAUUCGCGAAGCUGAUAACUGAAGCCCUGGUGAACGGCGGCCGUAACUAUAACGGUCCUAAGGUAGCGAAAUUCCUUGUCGGGUAAGUUCCGACCCGCACGAAAGGCGUAAUGAUUUGGAUACUGUCUCGGAGAGGGGCUCGGUGAAAUAGACUUGUCUGUGAAGAUGCGGACUACCUGCACCUGGACAGAAAGACCCUAUGAAGCUUUACUGUAACUUGAGAUUGAAAUUGGACUUUAUUUGCGCAGUAUAGGUGGGAGGCGUUGAGAAUAAUCUUGCGGGAUUAUGGGAGCCAUCAGUGAGAUACCACUCUUGUAAUGUUAGAUUUCUAACUUUGUAUCAUUAUCUGGUCAAAGAACAGUUUCAGGCGGGCAGUUUGACUGGGGCGGUCGCCUCCCAAAGGGUAACGGAGGCGCACAAAGGUUUCCUCUGAACGGGUAGAAAUCGUAUCUAGAGUGUAAAGGCAUAAGGAAGCUUGACUGUGAGACCUACAAGUCGAGCAGGGACGAAAGUCGGUCUUAGUGAUCUGACGGUGCUGAGUGGAAAGGCCGUCACUCAACGGAUAAAAGUUACUCUAGGAUAACAGGCUGAUCUCCCCCAAGAGUUCACAUCGACGGGGAGGUUUGGCACCUCGAUGUCGGCUCAUCGCAUCCUGGGGCGGUAGUACGUCCCAAGGGUUGGGCUGUUCGCCCAUGAAAGCGGUACGCGAGCUGGGUUCAGAACGUCGUGAGACAGUUCGGUCCAUAUCCGGUGUAGGCGUUAGAAUAUUGAAAGGAGCCAUCUCUAGUACGAGAGGACCGAGAAGGACAUACCUCUGGUGUACCAGUUAUCGUGCCAACGGUAAACGCUGGGUAGCUAUGUAUGGAGUGGAUAACCGCUGAAAGCAUCUAAGUGGGAAGCCCACCUUAAGAUAAGUAUUCUCAUC
rnacentral:rRNA from 1 species